UACGUAGGGUCCGAGCGUUGUCCGGAAUUAUUGGGCGUAAAGAGCUCGUAGGUGGUUUGUCGCGUCGUCUGUGAAAUUCCGGGGCUUAACUUCGGGCGUGCAGGCGAUACGGGCAAUACUUGAGUGCUGUAGGGGAGACUGGAAUUCCUGGUGUAGCGGUGGAAUGCGCAGAUAUCAGGAGGAACACCGAUGGCGAAGGCAGGUCUCUGGGCAGUAACUGACGCUGAGGAGCGAAAGCAUGGGUAGCGAACAGGAUUAGAUACCCCGGUA
rnacentral:rRNA from 1 species